GCCCAGCUAGCUCAGUCGGUAGAGCAUGAGACUCUUGCUCUCAGGAUUAUGGGUUUGCAGCCCAUUCUGGGCA